GAUGCUGAAAGUUCAAUCCCUAACUCUGGUGUUAUGUCUCACGAAUAUGAAAUACAAAUAAUAGUCGAUUUUCAUGUCUCUUUCAACAAGCAAUUGGGAAUCAAUUGUGAUGACCCAGUUUCUAGAUUAGUAUUUAAAGACCUUCUGAUGCGAUUAAAAACAUCUGAGGAGAUUGAUAAUUUCGUUCUUCAUGAGGACCUCGAUGGAUUUGGGGAUUUUGAUUCCGACGAAGAAUUUGUGGAGAUACUCCUGGAAGAUCAAAUCCGAUGGAUAUUGUUGGGGUUACUGAGGUAUGUAGUGGAUCUUAAGCUUAUGAGUUGGAAUAUUAGGGGUCUGAAUGAUGAUCUCAAUGUUCAAGCUGUUAGAAAUGCUAUUAGGAAGAAUAGAGUUUUUCUUUGCACUAUUCAAGAAUCCAAGAUGGAAUGUGUUUCUGAUUCGAUAGUGAGAUCAUUAUGGGGUAGCAAUAAUUGUGAAUAUGCAUAUUUGCCAUCUAUAAGAAGGUCUGGUGGCAUAAUUUUUCUGUGGAAUGUGGGGGAAUUAGUUAUGGAAGAAUCUCUAUUCACUUCUAUAUAUGGUGCUUCGGAUGCUUCAGGCUAUGCUCAGUUUUGGCAAGAAAUAACAUAUAUUAGGACAAUAAUGCAUGAACCAUGGUGUUUGGGUGGGGAUUGGAAUGCUAUUCUGUCACAAUCAGAGAGAAAUAGAGCAGGAGGAAAUACUAAUAACAGGAGAAGAUUUAGAAAUUUUCUAAAUGCUCAAAAUCUUAUGGAUCUUCCAAUGGCAGGAGGAAGAUUCACUUGGAAAAACUCCCAGAAUCCUUCACUUCUCUCAAGAUUAGACAGAUUUGUGGUUUCUGCGGAUUGGGAAGAUCUUUCCCUUCUUCAAUCCAGAAUGAAAAGACCUACUUUUGAUCAUGCUCCAGUUCUGCUAAGUUGCAAUUGAGGUAUUACUAUCAAAUCUCCUUUUAGGUAUGAAAAUUAUUUCUUGAUUCAUCCUGAUUCUUUGAAUUGUCUUAAAACUUGGUGGUCUAAUCUUACUUUUACUGGUAAACCAAGUUACAUUCUAGCAAAAAAAAUUACAAGGCCUUAAAUUUUUUAUCAAGAAGUGGGGUAGAGAAAACUUUGGUUCUCUUCAAGCUGAAGUUAACAGACUAGAAGAUCUUAUUGAUGUCAUGGAUAGUCUAGAAGAAAUAAAUUCUUUAUAUAAUGAGGAAUUUGAUGAAAGAGAGGAAUUCAUAUUCAAGCAUAAGUCUGCAUCGUUAAAUUUAUCUAGGAAAUGACAUGCUAGAGCCAAGGGUCAAUGGCUAGCUGAUGGUGAAAGGAAUUCAAGUUUUUUCCAUAAAAAUGCUUCAUGCAGAUACAAGGCUAAUGGUAUUAGUUCACUUACCAUCAAUGAGGAGAUGUGUAUUGAUAGAUAUGUAAUUAAUACAUAAGCUAAAAGGUUCUAUACUGAGUUAUUCACUGAAGAUACUCCUUUAAGACCAACUUUUGAUGAAUUAACUCUUCCUUCUCUUAGUGUGAAGUACAGUAUUUUGCCUCAAAAACCCUUUGAGGAGUCGGAAAUACAUAAUGUCAUCAAUUUUUCUGGUAGGAACAAGUCGCCAGGCCCUGAUGGUUACACUAUAUAUGGAGUUAUUCAAAGCCACUUGGGAGAUUAUUAAGCUGGAACUUCUAAAUGUGUUCAAUGAAUUUCAUACUUCUGGUACUUUGGAUUGGAGGCUAAAUUGCUGAUAAGCAUAAAGUACAACUGAAUUGGAUCAUCCGGAAAUAAAUGGCUGAAUUAGAAGCUAAAUCGGCUCUUGUAAAAGAGUAUUCCCAAGGCUGCUGCUCACAGCAUGAAAGGCAUUUGUUUAUUUGUGGUUGGCCUGGUAUUUAUAUAUCAGCACCACUAAAGUGUCACACGGACAAUUCAUUGUGGCAACCUCAUGAAUUAGGACUUGAAGUGGACUACUUGACACCUCUCCACCUCAUGUUAUCUAUGGAAGCAUCAGGAUAUUCUACUCCACCAAAAGAAAAGAAAGUCACAUUUUCCGUCUUAUCAAGCUGGUGAUAUUCGUCAUGCAAGAAAAGAGAUCCGAGCAACUGUUGUUACCAAAUCUUAACGGUGUUGGGAUGAUUCAGUUUCUGCAUAAUGGGUUUGAGACGGAAAUGAAGAUGAAUUUAUGGUAUCGUUUUAGCAGCUCUCGGUGGUAAGCAGGGAUGAAGUAAUGGGAAACAAUGGUUCUAAUCUCUCUGUCUUGGAUGUAAUUUUUGGGGUUGUUGUUGUUCGAAAUGAUCUUGGUAUGACAGUUGGUUAGAGAACAAGAAAGUGUUGUAGCCGAGAUGGAGAAGGAACUGAAGUGUCCAGGGAAUAUAUGUUGAUGGCUUGGUCGGACUUAGGAAGGAGGCCUGAAUUUAGAAAGUGUUGAAUGGGAUGGCUUGAACUGGGGAUGAUCAUUGGUACUGUUUAAUCAGUGGUAGGAUGGCUGAAGUGUUGUUAAGUGGGUUUGCUGCUGACGGUGGCUUGAAUUUAUCAAGAAUGGAAGUGGUGAUGAAUAGAUGGUUGCAGUCGAUAGGAGUUGACUGAGAAGGCAACAAUAGCGUCGAUGGGGAUUUGGUUCAUGACGGCUAAAGACGCUGGGAGUCAAAUGAGUUUUGUUUAUUCACAACUUCAUUGAUUGCAACGAUGGAUGGAGCUGUACUGCCGGAAUUAAGCACUGGUGUUGUCGCCUGAGAAGGAUCCUGCAUUGGUUUUGUGGCUGGAAGGAAGAAACAAGGAAGGUGAUGCAGAUGAUGCAGCUCGAUGUUAACUCAAUGCUGUGUUUGUCAUUGAUUUUAUCGGUGCUGCGCAGUCGUGGCUCAGGUAGACAAAGAGUUGUGUCCAGAUUUAAGAAUGAGAAGUUCACAAUGUUAGAGAAAAUGAGUUUAUAAAAUAGUUUGGUUUUUGGUCUUGGUGGGAUUGGAACUUAGGAUCUAUUGGUCACUAAGGACACUAGAUCAUUUUGACUAGUUGUGAAUGAACCUUUAG